UGCACCACACCUACGGGUGGCAGCCGUCGAGGAUCUUCGGCAAUGGGCGCAAGCCUGACCGAGCGACGCCGCGUGCGGGAUGAAGGCCUUCGGGUUGUAAACCGCUGUCAGUGGGGAGGAAAUUGGCGAGGGUUCUCCCUCGUUAUUGACCUAUCCGCAGAGGAAGGGUGGGCUAAGCUCGUGCCAGCAGCCGCGGUAAGACGAGCCACCCAAACGUUAUUCGGAAUUACUGGGCUUAAAGGGUGCGUAGGCGGUGCAGCAAGGCGGGAGUGAAAUACCUCAGCUUAACUGAGGAACUGCUUUCGAUACUGCUGUGCUCGAGUGAGACAGAGGUAAGCGGAACUUAGGGUGGAGCGGUGAAAUGCGUUGAUAUCCUAAGGAACACCGGUGGCGAAGGCGGCUUACUGGGUCUCUACUGACGCUGAGGCACGAAAGCCAA
rnacentral:rRNA from 1 species